rnacentral:rRNA from 1 species
UACGAAGGGGGCUAGCGUUGUUCGGAUUUACUGGGCGUAAAGCGUACGUAGGCGGAUCGUUAAGUCAGAGGUGAAAGCCUGGAGCUCAACUCCAGAAUUGCCUUUGAUACUGGCGGUCUUGAGUUCGGGAGAGGUGAGUGGAACUGCUAGUGUAGAGGUGAAAUUCGUAGAUAUUAGCAAGAACACCAGUGGCGAAGGCGGCUCACUGGCCCGAUACUGACGCUGAGGUACGAAAGCGUGGGGAGCAAACAGG